CCCUUAGAUGUUCUGGGCCGCACGCGCGCUACACUGACGAAGUCAGCGAGCAUGUCCUACGCCGACAGGUGCGGGGAAUCUUGUCAAACUUCGUCGUGAUGGGGAUUGAUUAUUGAAAUUCUUGAUCAUCAACGAGGAAUUCCUAGUAAGCGCAAGUUAGCAGCUUGCGUUGAUUACGUCCCUGCCCUUUGUACACACCGCCCGUCGCUACUACCGAUUGAAUGGUUUAGUGAGAUCUUCGGAUUGGCGCCACUGCGGCUCAGCAAUGGGCUCGGUGGAUGCCGAAAAGUUGAUCAAACUUGAUCAUUUAGAGGAAGUAAAAGUCGUAACA
rnacentral:rRNA from 1 species